rfam:Ictidomys tridecemlineatus contig052148, whole genome shotgun sequence.
UGGUAUGAGGGCAAUCUAGAUGUGAUAUUUGUCACCCCAUAGAUGGCUAGGGUUGAUUCAGCUGAUCUGAAUGAUUAGGCGGGUGUCCUUUUCUCCCUCACAGCUCCAUGUAUGUUCCUCCUGCAUGCUGGGACCAAAAAAGACUACCUUUCCCUGUAGAGGAGGACUAUUCUUCCAACAAGAGGACACAAAUAUCUGGACUCCCCUGCUAGAACUUCCAAACAGUAUCUCAAAAAAGUGCUAAUCACCUCCAUUCAAAUUCUGAAAUGAACAUAUAUUGAAUACCUACUGUAUACCAACCACUACUGCUGAU